GUAUAAAAAUAAACAUAAAAUUGAAUGGUUACAUGAAAAUUAAGGAUAAUUAUUAUGUUAUCGGCUUACUCACGUAACUGUUUGACGAGGAACUCGACUAAAGUUGAAGAUGAGCUUCUAGCAUGGCUAGAAACUAGAUAUCUUAAUUUUGUACAAAAAUAAAUCAGUAUUUUGAUACCGUAUUAAUUUACGAAUUAAUUUGAUAGUUUUUAGGGUUCCGUAGCCAAAUGGCAAAAAACGGAACCCUUAUAGAUUCGUCAUGUCUGUCUGUCUGUCUGUCUGUCCGUCUGUCUGUCCGUCCGUCCGUAUGUCACAGCCAUUUAUUUCCCAAACUGUUGGGCCUACAAAGUUGAAACUUUGUAGGUUGAUGUGUUUCGGUAACCGCUAUUCGAAUUUUGAAUAAAAAUUAAUAAAUUUAAAAAUUUAAGGGGGCCACUCCAUACAUGGAACUGAUUUAAAAAAAAAUUUUUUUCAGCUAACAUAUCCGUGAUGGGUUCCUAAAGCCAUUUUUCGUCAAAAUCAAUCGUUUGAAAGUUAGACGCUUCCAAAGUGGAAAAAU